rnacentral:rRNA from 1 species
ACGAACGCUGGCGGCGUGCCUAACACAUGCAAGUCGAGCGGGAAAGUUCCCUUCGGGGAGCGAGUACAGCGGCGAACGGGUGAGUAACACGUAGGUAACCUACCCUGGGGACUGGGAUAACCUGCCGAAAGGCGGGCUAAUACCAGAUAAGACCACGAGGGCUGCGGCUCUUGGGGUAAAAGAUGGCCUCUACUUGUACGCUAUCACUCCGGGAUGGGCCUGCGCGCCAUUAGCUAGUUGGUGGGGAACGCUCACCAAGGCUGAGAUGGCUAGCUGGUCUGAGAGGAUGGCCAGCCACACUGGGACUGAGACACGGCCCAGACUCCUACGGGAGGCAGCAGUGGGGAAUAUUGCGCAAUGGGCGAAAGCCUGACGCAGCGACGCUGCGUGGGUGAUGAAGGCCU